UACGGGGGGGGCAAGCGUUGUUCGGAAUUACUGGGCGUAAAGGGCUCGUAGGCGGCCAACUAAGUCAGACGUGAAAUCCCCAGGCUCAACCUGGGAACUGCGUCUGAUACUGGAUGGCUUGAAUCCGGGAGAGGGAUGCAGAAUUCCAGGUGUAGCGGUGAAAUUCGUAGAUAUCGAGAGGAACACCGGUGGCGAAGGCGGCGAUCUGGACGAUGACUGACGCUGAGACGCGAAAGCGUGGGGAGCAAACAGG
rnacentral:rRNA from 1 species